UACGUAGGUGGCAAGCGUUGUCCGGAAUUAUUGGGCGUAAAGCGCGCGCAGGUGGUUCCUUAAGUCUGAUGUGAAAUCCCACGGCUCAACCGUGGAGGGUCAUUGGAAACUGGGGAACUUGAGUGCAGAAGAGGAAAGUGGAAUUCCAAGUGUAGCGGUGAAAUGCGUAGAGAUUUGGAGGAACACCAGUGGCGAAGGCGACUUUCUGGUCUGUAACUGACGCUGAGGCGCGAAAGCGUGGGGAGCAAACAGG
rnacentral:rRNA from 1 species